CACCCGAUGACUGAAAAAAGUGUAGAUCUUUUAAAUCUAUUAUGGUGUAUACUACCUCUGGUGA
rnacentral:tRNA from 1 species